UCUCUCUCUUUCCUCUCUCUCGACGAAACUGCGAAUCGAUUUCUUGUUCUGGCUUCAAAAAUACAACGAAACUCAAUCGAUGAAACGAGACGAGGAAGAUGCUGGAGCUAACGAAGAUGAGGACACCGGAGCUCAGAUUGCUCGAUCUGUUGUUCAUGGGAGAUGUGAGUGUGGUUUCAAGAUCUGUAGAGAUUGUUACUUUGAUUGUAUUUGUAUCACAAGCGGUGGAGGCAAUUGUCCUAAAUGUAAAGAGCCGUACAGGGACAUCAACGAUGAUGUUGCCAGUUUGUAAACGACAACGGAAAGCCUCUUGUCAAGCUUUGAGUCACCCAUCUAAGGAAGAGGUUUAGCCUCAUCUUCUUCAUCUUCUUCCGCCGAUAAUGAACAACCCUUACAGCAAUCAAUCUCUGUCUCUCGCAUUAUGUAUAUAUAAUUUGGUCUCUAUUCCUCACUU